rnacentral:rRNA from 1 species
CCUUAACCCAAAGGGGCGGAAGGAUUCGGGUAGCUUGGUCUUGAGAGGGGUGAUCAGGCCACACUGGGACUGAGACACGGUCCAGACUCCUACGGGAGGCAGCAGUGGGGAAUAUUGGACAAUGGGGGCCAAGCCUGAUCCAGCGCAUGCCGCGUGGUAGGUGAAUGAAGGCCCUUCAGGGUGGCUGAUAGAACGCUACAUUUGUCAGAAAGUCGGGUGCAAGGCGAAAGGUACAUACACUCUGGCGUUUGCUGAUUAGCCGCUGAAGCGUGGAUAAGUUAUUGCACUGGUUACCCGCCCGAGCUAUGGAAAGGUAAGGCUAUCUCUGG